rnacentral:lncRNA from 1 species
AUCAGUGGCUGAUGUGUGGAGGGGAAGACUGUGGGGGCAUACAGAAGAGGCCAAGGCUGCAUGCAACAGGAAAUAAAGUCAGACACGAUAUAUUUUAUACCAGCUGUGAAAGAAUGAAGAUCUUCUGCCUUCAGCCUUGGGAAGAAUUUUAGCAACUGCAUAUUAAUGAAGCCGUAGAACAUAAUCACGGGCUUAGUCUUCUGCCAAACGUGGUGAAUUGGUGAAUUGAGGCCUUAGUGGCCUCUCUGACCUUCAGAUGGAAUAAUCUGGUCAGCCAUAAUCAAAUCACAAACUCUUGAUAAUUUCAACCCCCUUUUAGACACUUCUCUUGUUUCAAUUAACAAUCCAUUACAACUGAAAGGCAAGGCAGAGGAAAUCACGUGUCUAGCUUCUUCCUGGGUCUGGGAAACUAGUUGCUGAAUGUGUCACUUUAAUAAAACCCAUGGGAAACUUGGAAGGCUUGGAUUU